AUUUUGCAUGUUAGGAAUUGUUUGAGGGAGAAACGACUAAUAUUUAAGAGAAAAAAUUUAGAAAUGUAUAAUUAAAAAGCACAUUGAUUAUAGGUUAUUGAAUAGAGAGAAGGGGAGAGGAAAAGCCAAGAGUAAAGAUCAAUUCAAAAAAAGAGUUAGUGAAGCUCGAGGAAAACUUGCCACGUGGCAAAAUUAUUUAGAAUUCAUAUAGUGUGAGAAAGUGAAUUCUCGAAAUACGAGAGUUAGACUUCAUUCAGAAUCGACCAAGGGUCGUGUUGGUGCGCUUUGGAAAAG
rnacentral:lncRNA from 1 species